ensembl:lncRNA
CGGUUUGCCAGUGCGAGCGUGUGGGCUCCGCGUCCUCCAGCCCAGCCCCGGGGACAGCAAGUGAGGAGGAGGUGGAGGAAGGAUGUGGAUCCUCCGCCGGGAAGUAAAAUGGGAACAGCGACCAAGCUGGCACUGCAUGCCGACCUCCUCUCCCCGCGAGCAGCUCAGGUGCUCCAAAGGUUGGAGCCCCACCUCCAUCAGCAAGAGGCUUUUGCUGACACCGCGGAAAGAAACCGGCAGAAGCUGGAGCUGAAGCGGCAGCUCCCCUGUGCUCGAUGCUCGUACCGCUCCAGAGGGGAAGGUGCUGGCAACAGUGGUGACGGCGCUGGAGCUGUCGGCAAGGGGGCUGGGAAGCUGUCCGGAUUUCCACCUGUGAAUGGCAAAUCGUAGAAUCAAAGACUUGUAGAAUGGCCUGGGUUGAAAAGGACCUUGAAGAUCAUCUAGUUUCC